rnacentral:rRNA from 1 species
UACGUAGGGUGCAAGCGUUGUCCGGAUUCACUGGGUGUAAAGGGUGCGCAGGCGGGCUCUUAAGUCAAAGGUGAAAUCUCACGGCUUAACCGUGAAAUUGCCUUUGAUACUGAGAGUCUUGAGUACGGGAGAGGGAGAUGGAAUUCCAGGUGUAGCGGUGAAAUGCGUAGAUAUCUGGAGGAACACCGGAGGCGAAGGCGGUCUCCUGGCCCGUUACUGACGCUCAUGCACGAAAGCGUGGGGAG